rnacentral:rRNA from 1 species
CCUACGGGUGGCAGCAGUGAGGAAUAUUGGUCAAUGGACGAGAGUCUGAACCAGCCAAGUAGCGUGAAGGAUGACUGUCCUAUGGGUUGUAAACUUCUUUUAUAUGGGAAUAAAAUGUUCCACGUGUGGGAUUUAGUAUGUACCAUAUGAAUAACGAUCGGCUAACUCCGUGCCAGCAGCCGCGGUAAUACGGAAGAGACGAGCGUUAUCCGGAUUUGUUGGGUUUAAAGGGAGCGUAAGUGGAUUGUUAAGUCAGUUGUGAAAGUUUGCGGCUCAACCGUAAAAUUGCAGUUGAAACUGGCAGUCUUGAGUACAGUAGAGGUGGGCGGAAUUCGAGGUGUAGCGGUGAAAUGCUUAGAUAUCACGAAGAACUCCGAUUGCGAAGGCAGUUCACUGGACUGCAACUGACACUGAGGCUCGAAAGUGUGGGUAUCAAACAGGAUUAGAUACCCCGGUAGUC